ACGGCGGGACGACCCGCCGUUCUUGCAUUUUGUUCGGGGGACGACCCCC
rnacentral:ncRNA from 1 species